rnacentral:lncRNA from 1 species
ACAUGGCUAUGAUUGGUUAUAUGAGUUUGUGAAAUUACAAACCUAAUUUCUGGGUGGUGUCAAAGAUGGGAUUACCUGAAACGGAUUCCCACGUUGCUUUGUGAUUUGGUGAUUAUGGUUCUUGACUUCUCUAAGAGAGGAAUAAAAGUGCCACACUCACUAAUGACCAAAUUGGUCAGUUCCACUCAUAUGCCCCCUAUAGCCUCUUUACCAUCUAGCCUUUCCAGAGUUAACCUAUUGUAAAAUUAGAUUGUAAAAAUGGACAGAGUGGCCACCACUCUGGGAUAAGGGUGAAGGACUCAUGGUGUCAUCCCCACUAAAUACUCCAGUGGAAAUUAUCACUUAAUUAUUUGUGAUAUCACCCAGCUCCCCAAAGAGCUGGCCUUCCUUUUCAGCCCCAGUUAUCUUUUGGAAGUGUAACUCUUUCAGUUUGAUUGUCCUGGGAACACAUGCAGUUUUCUCUUGAUGGGGAAACCCCUCUCUGAAGGUCUGCGUUUUAAGUGGCAGAGAUGCAAAAACAGCCUUCUAGACAGAGUUUCUAAUUGAAUUCUCCUCUAUACCGUUAUCCAUAAACUGAGUAAUGCAUCCAAGGAAGAAGAGAGGAUGAGAGAGGUCAGGAAGUUUAGAUUCCAGUAAAAUUUAAAUAGCCACUGAAUUUGCCAUAGCAAAACAUGAGCUAUGAUUCUGUUAGUACACAGGAAAAGUCAAUUAGGUGAACUGAUUUUUUAUGGUGUUGGGAAUAUUAUAAUUCAGGGAUUCUUAACCUAUAGCUUAACCUAUAGGCAAUUUAAGACUAGAUUUCAGGGGUAGGGCAGUGAAACUUCUAAAAUUGCUGUAACAUUUUUUAUUAAGUCAUAGGCAGUUUCCUAGGGAGAGGCUUUUAUCAAAUUCUCAGAAGGGUCCACUGCCAUAAAAGAUUAAGGAACCACUGCAUUCUAUCAUCAUAAUUUUUUGUCUUCUUUCAAAAGUUGAUAUUCUGGUUUUUUUUAUGCAGAAAAGACAAAAGCAUGUACAACUCUGAUAUUUCAUGAUCUUUAAUUUCUUCCCCCUCCUGGAUGUCCUAUAAUAAAUGUACAGGAAAGAAAUAUAAAACGCUAUCCAAACUCAGUUAAUAGCUCUGAGAAAUGCACACUCAGAGUGCUUUAAAAUCAGGUUACAAAUAUCAUUUUCAAUUUGCUGGGGAGAAAAUAGGAAGAGUCCCUUGGAAUACAGAAUAAAUUCAUUCUAUGUACAUUAUCAGUGUUGGUUCAUUAUAUUCUCAUUGGCCCACAACUCAACACAUCUUUAAGAAGCAAAAGUGCAUACACUCUCCCUUACUGACAAUAUUUAGGGGAAGACCACAUACUUUGUGAACUACUGUGAGUUGAGUUCUUGUAGUCAAAGCAGUAGUAGGUGGAGCUUCAUUCUCUGGUAUUAAAAUCCUAAAAGUGAGUAGUGUUAUUAAUUGGGGGCACUUUUGAGAUUUGAUUAAGAAAUUUACUGCUCUUGUGGGUUGUUUCCUCCCUUGUGGGAUGUUCUGGAUGAAUGUCAAGGUCUAGCCCCGGCAGAUUCCAGAAAGCUUGUCCAUCUAAAUUUGCUGUUAAGCCAUGGGAACUUUUCUAUUGCAGUCUUUGGGUCAUGGUAACGUGUAAAGCCUAGAGUUUGUUGAAGGGCACUUUUCUCUCUCUAAAAUUCUCCAUUCCUCACAACUGGUUUUUAUUAUUCCGUGACAUGCUGGGAGUGUUGCUAUGACUGUUUGAGAAGUAUGGGCAGAUAUAUUGCUGGCUGGCUUCUUACAGGAAGAGUUUCCCAUGAUGGGAGUGAGAGACCCCUGGGGCCACCUGGAAACUGCCCACUCUUGUAAGAUGUUGCUCAGCGUUCUUGGGACCCAGGAAUUCACUGCUCCAAAGGCCCUGAGUUCACUUUCAAGGCUUGGUUCUGCAGGGUGUACUCAUGUGUGCACCCUGAGUCUUGAGGAGUAGACAAAGGGCUUUUGUGGAGGAUGAGGAGGGAGAUUGGAUGUGAGCACUGCUGUGUUCAUACGUGUGCUGUGUUCUGAUCCUUGAGAUUUGGAUCAGAGCCAGAGGUGGAAAGAGAAGAGGAUGGGGUGUAGUUGGGGCUGGCCUCCCUAUGCCACUGACUACUUGAGAGGAACAUUGAAGAACUGAAAAUUCUACAAUCGAAGUUGGCUUUCCAGGUUGUUAUAAAGAAGUAUUUGUCAAGACAGGAGGUAUAACAUAUUUCAUUUAAAAGUUUGCUAGCUUGUUUUAUAGCUUUUAAAUAUUUAGACACUCUCCAAACCUUUUUCACUUUCUUCUUUUUUCUCUUUGUGUGAGUGUGGAUUUCUUUAUGCUGAAACAUUCCAGCUGAUGGUAUUUCUCUUAUCUUUUUGGCUUGUCAUAGUUGAUAUUUAUCCUUCCCACCUCAGAUCAGGAAGAAGCUAAAUGCCACCUUUUGCAUUGUCUGUCUCUCAAAGAAAGGAUGCAUAUUUGAUUUUUCUUCUACACCGAAUGGAGAAUAUUACACUGACCCUGCUUGGAAACUGAGUGAUUCUCCUAGUGCUUGUUCUUUCCCAAAAGAGAACUGUGGACUCUCUCUCUGUGUGUGUGUGUGUGUGUGUGUGUGUGUGUGUGUGUGUAUGUGUGUGUGUG